GCUGAUUUGCUCCAAUGAGGACAUCACUUCCUGCUUCGUUACUCGUCAUACCUAAAGCUGCAGACAGGAAAUGCUUCCAGCUGGCUUCCCUGGCGUUGCCCCCUGCUUCAGGUCGACCAGAAUUCCAAGUCCUAGCAUCCCGGCUGGUGUACUUCCCAAGGAACCCCAGCCUGCAGAAGUCUGCUUGCCCCUCAGUUCCUCUACAGAUAACGAAGCAGCCAUGUGGGGCCUUGUGAGCAAGGUGUUGGGCACUGGGGGGAGGAUACCGGGAAUCAAACUCACCAUCUUGUGCUUGCCAGGCAGGCGCUGUGCUGCUGCGCUAUGUCCCCAGCCCUGAGCCCUUAUUUCUUAGUGCUAUUUCCCUAACUAAGAUGUUCACAGGACCAACUUCAGGGUGCAAAUAUUGAAGACCCAGAAGACACUGGACAGAAACUCAAGUUGCAUGUCUUUGUAACUUUGCAGAAUUUCGGUGGACCUCAGGGCUAUGACCCCCAGCACUGAUGUAUAGAUGUCAAGUUUUUGGGUCUUUAACUGUGUUAAUCAGGGAAGAAGAGGUGUCCCUGUAGGAGAUAGCUCCAUUUAAAGCACACAACAGUGAGAUCCGCAAAGGUCUAAAGUGUGG